CAGAGUUGCAAAACUCCCACAAACCAUCGCGAAUCUUACCCGUACGGUUGCCUCGGCGCUGGCGGUCCGGAAGGCCCUCGGGCCCCCCGGAUCCUCGGGUCUCCCGCUCGCGGGAGGCUGCCCGCCGGAGUGCCGAAACCAAACUCUUGAUAUUUUAUGUCUCUCUGAGUAAACUUCUAAAUAAGUCA
rnacentral:misc_RNA from 1 species